CCGCCUCCUCAGCAGCUCCCUUCCGGGUCACGUCGCGAGUGCACGCACGGCCGGGCGGCUACGGGUCCAACCGCGGCCCACAGCCGAGCGCGGCAGCAGCGCCGCGCGUAAGCGGAGCAUGCGUAGUACCCGAGGACUGCUGCGCUGGGGGCGAGCUGCCCCGGGAACGGCCUGACCAGGAAAAUGGAUAGGCCUCUCGGCUAAGGAUCUUGGUUUGGACCACCCAGUAAUGGAAUCCCUGAGGUCAAGAUAAAGAAGGGGCUGGCUGACUGGGGUGAAAGGUGCCCCCACCUACCUGGUGAAGCUGAACUGCAGAAACAGGGAUCUGCACUGUCCCAGAUGGCGCUGUCAGGAACACCUGGGGGACGCCACCUGCACUCAAAAACCACAGGAGAAACUCAAAUCACUAGCUCAAGAGAAACUUCCAGAUCUUGGAGGUGUGGUGAUAAAUGCACAAGUGACUGGGUGAGUCUCAGAUGUAAGUGCCCAAAGGAGCAGGCACUGACCCAUCAAGGACAUGAUCUGCCUUCCAGUCAAGGUAGGGAAGUGGUAGAAUGUCUGCUGUCCUUGUGGCAAUGGAGGCACAGGGCUGGGCUUGCUAGACAAGGCCAGAGCAUAUGGUUGAA